UACGGAGGGGGCUAGCGUUGUUCGGAAUUACUGGGCGUAAAGCGCACGUAGGCGGCUUUGUAAGUUAGAGGUGAAAGUCCAGGGCUUAACCCUGGAAUUGCCUUUAAGACUGCAUCGCUAGAAUCGUGGAGAGGUGAGUGGAAUUCCGAGUGUAGAGGUGAAAUUCGUAGAUAUUCGGAAGAACACCAGUGGCGAAGGACGACUCACUGGACACGUAUUGACGCUGAGGUGCGAAAAGCGUGGGGGAGCAAACAGGAUUAGAAAACCC
rnacentral:rRNA from 1 species